rnacentral:rRNA from 1 species
GAUGAACGCUGGCGGCGUGCCUAAUACAUGCAAGUCGAGCGAACGGACGAGAAGCUUGCUUCUCUGAUGUUAGCGGCGGACGGGUGAGUAACACGUGGAUAACCUACCUAUAAGACUGGGAUAACUUCGGGAAACCGGAGCUAAUACCGGAUGAUAUUUUGAACCGCAUGGUUCAAAAGUGAAAGACGGUCUUGCUGUCACUUAUAGAUGGAUCCGCGCUGCAUUAGCUAGUUGGUAAGGUAACGGCUUACCAAGGCAACGAUGCAUAGCCGACCUGAGAGGGUGAUCGGCCACACUGGAACUGAGACACGGACCAGACUCCUACGGGAGGCAGCAGUAGGGAAUCUUCCGCAAUGGGCGAAAGCCUGACGGAGCAACGCCGCGUGAGUGAUGAAGGUCUUCGGAUCGUAAAGCUCUGUUAUUAGGGAAGAACAGAUGUGUAAGUAACUGUGCACAUCUUGACGGUACCUAAUCAGAAAGCCACGGCUAACUACGUG